ACAGAGGGAGCGAGCGUUAUCCGGAAUGAUUGGGCGUAAAGCGUCUGUAGGUGGUUUAGAAAGUCUACUGUCAAAUACCAAGGCUCAACCUUGGGCAGGCAGUGGAGUACUUUUAGACUAGAGUGUGGUAGAGGUAGAGGGAAUCCCUAGCGUAACAGUGAAAUGUGUAGAUCUUAGGGAGAACACCAGCGGCGAAGGCGCUCUACUGGGCCAAGACUGACACUGAGAGACGAAAGCUAGGGGAGCGAAUAGGA
rnacentral:rRNA from 1 species